rnacentral:rRNA from 1 species
CCUACGGGUGGCUGCAGUGGGGGAUAUUGCACAAUGGGGGAAACCCUGAUGCAGCGACGCCGCGUGUGGGAAGACGGUCCUCUGGAUUUUAAACCACUGUCCCCAGGGACGAAGAUGACGGUACCUGGGGAGGAAGCUCCGGCUAACUACGUGCCAGCAGCCGCGGUAAUACGUAGGGAGCAAGCGUUGUCCGGAAGUACUGGGUGUAAAGGAAGCGUAGGCGGGAUGGCAAGUCGGAAGUGAAAGCCCAGGGCUCAACCCUGGGACUGCUUUGGAAACGGUGGAGCUAGAGUGCUGGAGAGGUAAGUGGAAUUCCUAGUGUAGCGGUGAAAUGCGUAGAUAUUAGGAGGAACACCAGUGGCGAAGGCGGCUUACUGGACAGUAACUGACGUUGAGGCUCGAAAGCGUGGGGAGCAAACAGGAUUAGAUACCCUUGUAGUC